UUGUUGCAGUUAAAAAGCUCGUAGUUGAAUUUCGGGGUUAGUAGGUUGGUCAUGCCUCUGGUAUGUACUGGUCUCACUGAUUCCUCCUUCCUUAUGAACCGUAAUGCCAUUAAUUUGGUGUUGCGGGGAAUUUGGACUGUUACUUUGAAAAAAUUAGAGUGUUUAAAGCAGGCUAACGCUUGAAUACAUUAGCAUGGAAUAAUGAAAUAGGACGUUCGAU
rnacentral:rRNA from 1 species